UACGUAGGUGGCAAGCGUUGUCCGGAAUUAUUGGGCGUAAAGCGCACGUAGGCGGCUUUGUAAGUUAGAGGUGAAAGCCCGGGGCUCAACUCCGGAACUGCCUUUAAGACUGCAUCGCUUGAAUUGUGGAGAGGUAAGUGGAAUUCCGAGUGUAGAGGUGAAAUUCGUAGAUAUUCGGAAGAACACCAGUGGCGAAGGCGACUUACUGGACACAUAUUGACGCUGAGGUGCGAAAGCGUGGGGAGCAAACAGG
rnacentral:rRNA from 1 species